UACGGAGGGGGCUAGCGUUGUUCGGAAUUACUGGGCGUAAAGGGCGCGCAGGCGGCUGCUCAAGUCAGGCGUGAAAGGCCUGGGCUCAACCCGGGAAUUGCGCUUGAGACUGGGCUGGCUUGAGUGCGGGAGAGGAUGGUGGAAUUCCCAGUGUAGAGGUGAAAUUCGUAGAUAUUGGGAAGAACACCGGUGGCGAAGCGGCCAUCUGGACCGCAACUGACGCUGAGGCGCGAAAGCGUGGGGAGCAAACAG
rnacentral:rRNA from 1 species